rnacentral:precursor_RNA from 14 species
CAUCAAAGGUGACUCGCAGCACUGUGGGCUUGACCCAGAACCCACUGAAGUUAAGGGCAGAGUCCCGUUAGCUUCUGUGGGCUGUAGGUCAGGCUCCACGUGUUAUAAAUCACAGGAGGGACA